rnacentral:lncRNA from 1 species
ACUGAAAUGGGUCUACAAGACAAAGUACAAAGAAGAUGGAACAAUUCAAAAGCAUAAAGCUCGACUAGUGGCGAAAGGAUACUCACAACAGCCAGGAGUCGACUUCACAGAGACAUUCGCGCCAGUUGCUCGAAUGGAGACAGUCAGGACAGUUCUUGCACUAGCUGCUCAAAUGGAGACACCAGUUUAUCAGCUAGAUGUCAAAUCAGCUUUUCUAACUGGAGAAUUACAAGAAGAAGUAUAUGUGGAGCAACCUCUGGGUUAUAUUGUCAAAGGAAGCGAGAACAAAGUCUUGCGGCUAAAAAAGGCACUGUAUGGAUUAAAACAAGUACCACGAGCCUGAAACAGCAAAAUUGAUUCCUAUUUUCAAAAAAAUGGAUUUCAACGCAGCCCGAGCGAGCCUUCCUUGUACGUCAAAAGAGAAGGUACGCAUGAUAUUCUAAUCGUCUGCUUAUAUGUUGAUGAUUUGAUAUAUUGUGGCACUAACCCAAAGAUGGUAGAAGAAUUCAAAAGUUCCAUGAUGAAAGAAUACGAGAUGACAGAUCUUGGUCUUAUGAAGUAUUUUCUUGGCAUCCAAAUUCAACAAGCAAAAGGAGAAAUAUUUAUUUCUCAAGAAAAAUAUUUAAAUGAUCUUCUUAAGCGGUUUGGCAUGAAUGAUUGCAAACCGAUAUCAACGCCAAUGGCAUUAAAUGAGAAGCUAAGCAAAGAAGAUGACUCAGAAAAAGUUGAUGCUACAAAGUAUAGAAGCUUAGUUGGAUGCCUUAUUUAUCUGACAAAUACGAGGCCAGAUAUUGUCUUUGCUGUCAGUUAUGUAUCAAGAUUUAUGCAUGAGCCAAGUAAGAAUCACUAUACAGCAGCAAAGAGAAUUCUUCGCUACCUACAAGGCACAAGAAAGCUUGGAAUUAAAUAUACAAAGGAGGCAGGUGACAAACUCAUGGGGUACAGCGAUAGUGAUUGGGCAGGCUCGGUGGAUGAUCGUAAAAGCACUUCUGGAUAUUUAUUCUGC